rnacentral:sRNA from 1 species
CUUGGUCAUUUAGAGGAAGUAAAAGUCGUAACAAGGUUUCCGUAGGUGAACCUGCGGAAGGAUCAUUACAGAGAACAUGCCCUUUAGGGGGUAUAUCUCCCACCCUUUGUUUACAAUACCUUUGUUGCUUUGGUGGGCCCGUCUUUUAGACCACCGGCCUUGGCUGGUCUGUGCCCACCAGAGGACCAAACAAUUCCUUUUAUUAUGUUGUCUGAGUCUAAAUAAUUUUUAUAAAACUUUCAACAACGGAUCUCUUGGUUCUGGCAUCGAUGAAGAACGCAGCGAAAUGCGAUAAGUAAUGUGAAUUGCAGAAUUCAGUGAAUCAUCGAAUCUUUGAACGCACAUUGCGCCCCUUGGUAUUCCGAGGGGCAUGCCUGUUCGAGCGUCAUUAUAACCACUCAAGCCUGGCUUGGUAUUGGGGCUUUCGCGUGUUCGCGGCCCUUAAAAUCAGUGGCGGUGCCGUCUGGCUCUAAGCGUAGUAAUUUCUCUCGCUAUAGGGUUCCGGUGGUUACUUGCCAAAACCCCCCAUUUUUUCUAGGUUGACCUCGGAUCAGGUAGGGAUACCCGCUGAACUUAAGCAUAUCAAUAAGCGGAGGAA